rnacentral:ncRNA from 1 species
CGGCACUCUGGAGAGACCGAAAGGCACCGAAGGGGCAAGGCGAGCAUGGAAAAGGGCUAGCUGAAACUCUCAGGUAAAAGGACAGAGCGA